CUUCCCUCCAAAUUAUUAAAUAUACGAAGACCAGUAACAGUUUCUUCAAAAUGGUUAUCGCAAAUGUUACAGGCGAGAAGGAUGAAACAGUGUUAUAAGUUGCACCAAUAGCGGUGCCAGUCGUGGACAAGACACCUCCAGCAACCCAGGUUACUCCACCAUACGCUGUACCGGCGGCAUAUUUUGUUGUGUUGUAAACAGUUCCAGAUAAGCGACCGAGCAAACCUUGUUGCACAUCAUUUACUUCGUUCUCAUUGUCUGGUUUAGCAAAAACAUCUUCAUCUGAUUUCUGAAAAAUAUUAACACAGCUAUAUUAUCUGGGUUCAUGCACUGCGCAAUGUUGCUAACGGAUAUACUAUAACUCCUUGGGCUUGGGUUGGAAAAAAGUAAACCAUACUCCCUGUUCCAAAGUAAAAGAGAAUAGUAAAAAUUAAAAAGCUGCAAAGUGGCCAAAUGUUGUCAAACGCGGAAAACAUAGCCUUGCAAAGUUCGCAAUUGUUAUCGCACGGAAGUUACCACCUUUGGGCCGAGAAAUCGCCAUAUUUUGAGCAUUUUACAAAAGUUCAUUCAGGCAGAAGAGUAUGUGGCGAACGAGUCACUGUCGUGUGAUUUUGAUCAAUUUCAUGAUAAAAGUGUGUGGAUACGGUGGGUUUAAGUGAUAUAUGCACGCGUGUCUGGAGGUAAAGUCCCGCAAAUUCUGGCUUAACGAAAACAAUCAUAAGGCAGCGUUCCAGUUAUUUAUUACAGUUCAUUGACGCGCUGUGGUUUCACCAUGUUUCUUAUAACAGGUGGGAAAUUUGCCAGCCUCAUAUACCUAUGUGCAAGGGUGUAACCACUUCCCUCUAUUGCUUGAUUGUUUUGGUCUAGUAACUAAUUUUAUAACACUAAUAACUACCGUAUUCACUUUAGUAAUUUAUAGCAGGGAGGGGGAUGGGAUGUUUCCUCUUCGUGAUUGAACGUGCAUGGGUAUGUGCUUGCGCGCAUAUUUUCCCCUGUUUACAAAUUUACUAUAUUUCCACAUAAAUGAAUAUAUAUGAAUAUAUAUAAUACACCAUAACUCUACAGACGAACAUGCAUGACAUUUGACACAUUUUCACGACACUGCAUGUUAUGCCAGGCUGGGAUCAGUUACAGGGGUCAGAAUAGAGAAUAUACCAUGUCUGCACGGUUGUUUUUUGAGAAAAAUUAGACUAAAAUCAUUAAAAUUUUAAACUUAUAUGUAUAAUAGACAAAGAGCCGUGCCUCACUU